rnacentral:piRNA from 1 species
UUUUGUCCUUUUUUUGGGAAU